AAUUAAAUUUAAUUAAAACACACAUAUACCAACACUGCGUAUCGGGGUGUUCUACUUAUUUAUAGGUGGGAUCGAUACAAUGGGUAUAUGGAGGCCUAAC
rnacentral:sRNA from 2 species